rnacentral:rRNA from 1 species
AGUACUCCUACGGGGAGGCAGCAGUGGGGGAAUAUUGCACAAUGGGCGCAAGCCUGAUGCAGCCAUGCCGCGUGUGUGAAGAAGGCCUUCGGGUUGUAAAGCACUUUCAGUCGUGAGGAAGGUAGUGUAGUUAAUAGCUGCAUUAUUUGACGUUAGCGACAGAAGAAGCACCGGCUAACUCCGUGCCAGCAGCCGCGGUAAUACGGAGGGUGCGAGCGUUAAUCGGAAUUACUGGGCGUAAAGCGCAUGCAGGUGGUUUGUUAAGUCAGAUGUGAAAGCCCGGGGCUCAACCUCGGAAUAGCAUUUGAAACUGGCAGACUAGAGUACUGUAGAGGGGGGUAGGAAUUUCAGGUGUAGCGGUGAAAUGCGUAGAGAUCUGAAGGAAUACCAGUGGCGAAGGCGGCCCCCUGGACAAAGACUGACGCUCAGAUGCGAAAGCGUGGGGAGCAAACAGGAUUAGAUACCCUGGUAG